rnacentral:rRNA from 1 species
GACCUGCGGAGGGAUCAUUACCGAG